CCUACGGGUGGGCAGCAGUGGGGGAUAUUGCACAAUGGGGGAAACCCUGAUGCAGCGACGCCGCGUGUGGGAAGACGGUCCUCUGGAUUGUAAACCACUGUCCCCAGGGACGAAGAUGACGGUACCUGGGGAGGAAGCUCCGGCUAACUACGUGCCAGCAGCCGCGGUAAUACGUAGGGAGCGAGCGUUAUCCGGAUUUAUUGGGUUUAAAGGGUGCGUAGGCGGGCUUUUAAGUCAGCGGUAAAAAUUCGGGGCUCAACCCCGUCCGGCCGUUGAAACUGGGGGCCUUGAGUGGGCGAGAAGAAGGCGGAAUGCGUGGUGUAGCGGUGAAAUGCAUAGAUAUCACGCAGAACCCCGAUUGCGAAGGCAGCCUUCCGGCGCCCUACUGACGCUGAGGCACGAAAGUGCGGGGAUCGAACAGGAUUAGAUACCCGGGUAGUC
rnacentral:rRNA from 1 species